CCACCUUCUUAACAAGCUUCUAUAGCCUGAGACCUCCCUGUGUUGAUAUUGCAUCCUCCAACCUGCAAUGGGAAAAGCUGGGCUCCAAACCCAGCAUCGGGAACUGCUCUAACCUGGUAGCCACAUCUGAGCAGACACAGAUGUCAAGGUGGGGGGAACUCAGGUAUACAGCCCUAUUUUUUUGCCUGCAAGGCCUUUUCUAGCGGGCAGGACCAGCAGUGAGUGCACACCACAGCUCUGCACCCUGCCGUGCCGUCUCUCCGCCUUCUCCUUCCUACAGUUUGCCAUUCUUUCUUUCCUCCCUCCCUCUUCUGAAAGCCCUCACAAGGUCCAAUCCAGUGGAGGUAAACAGUGUUUUCUGCCAGGUCCUGAGCAUCCCUGUCUCUCAUGGAGCCUCUGCACACCCUCCAAGGACGUGUUCAGCAUCGCUGUUGUACCCAGCUACCCCCUGCACGUGAUGGGCUUGACCCCACUGCGGUCCGAUGCUGCCUUUCAAAUCGCUGAAGCCAAAUUAGGAUUUGCCCAGAAGCCCCUGGUCAGCACAGUGCAGAGCCGGGACCCUGAGUGUGACCAUGCUGCCAUAGUGGGAAGCUCUUCCCUCCUUUAGUUCCAGACAACUUCUUCCCAAAACCAUGGAAGUCCCAGACAUGAGGGGAAGGGAUAGCAGACACAGGUCAGAUUUGGAGAAGAUCUUAGAGGUCAGCUUUCAACACCACGAACAUAAUAGGAAUGAUUUGGUUUCUGCCACACAGGGACUUUGUGAAGGGGCAGGAUCUACAAGACAAGACCAUGGAGAUGAGGUCCUCCCUCACUUUUCUUCUCAUUAAAAGGCUUUGGGAAGACCUUUAAGUCCUCUGAAAUGGCAGCUGAGCAGGCAGGGAGCAGUGCUGCCAGGUGAGAUGAAGUCCUCUCUUUUUACUCCUCAUACUUUCCAUCAGCUUCAUUACUGACUACAGCCUCUUUCAGAUGAUGUGGCCCAAAGCCACGCGUGUGCAUUGACAGAAAUGGGACAGUGCUCAGUGUUCCAGGCUGGAAGCUGGGACUGCUCUGGGACAAUCAGGUAUUCCUGGGUGUCAGAAAGAUGUGAAAUAGUGGAGAGAUGUUUGGCUGCAGAGUUGGUUGAGAGGAGGGCUUGAGGAGGGAGAAGGUUUUAUGACUGUUCCGUAUUUGUAGCCUGACUUUUAAGUCCUAAUUCUUACUCGUAGGGACGUGGACCAAGGCUGUGGUCCUGCUGCAGGGUAAGUGUUGUGCUGAGGGUUAAGUACACUGAGCAAAACAGCAGCUCUUGCCGAGGGCUGGUGGCAUCAUAUGCUGAAAAUACCUACUGUCCUUUUCAUUCCUUCAGUUCUCCAAGAGUCUUUGCUUGUUUCCACCAGCUCCCCUGGAAGGCCUGUUGGCUUUCUGUAAGGAAAUUGCACAACUGUUUUCAUGGAAAAUAAUUCUGGAGGUUAUUUUUUGUUUCCCUUGGUCAUCCUGGCUUUUCUGUGCUAUGCUGAAUGGGGUUUCAUGAAGAGCACGCAUGAAACAAGGAAAACUUAGGGCAUUUAAAAGAACAGUCUUCAAGAUUGAUUGAAUUGUUUGCUUUGGUGCUCCCCUGCCCAUCUGGUGUGUAUUGGUGCAUGGAAAAUGGUAUCUUUGACCAGGCUCUCCUGACCAAACACAGUCCGGCAGGCCCUUGUUGUUACAAUAAAGCCGCAUGCUACUUUCCAUAACUCAUUAGCCCCUUAGUUUCUGGAUUAAUUCAAUGUGCAAAUAAUGCCACAAAUUGAAUAUUAGUAGACUUCUAUAGAGGCUUAAGCGGCAGUAAAAGCAUAUCACUGUGUCUUCAUUUUGCUUUGCACAACUGUGGUUUGUCCAGCGUAGCAAGUGCUUAGUUAACUACCCGAUAGCUCGACGCCUUCUUUCCCAUGCUGGUUUUUCAUGCAAUAGCCCAGCUAUUAGAAGGGAAAACUCUUGUGCUUGUAAAAGUGGGGGUACACAAAAUGAGCCUCCCUGUUAGCACUGCACAGUGCCCACCAUCUCUUUUAAAGAAGAGCUGGAUAGCCCUAGCUCUUCUACAGUUGCUCCCACAACAGCCCAUGGUUAGCUGAUGGACUCAGACUUAAAGACUUCACCUGCAUCACUGUGUGGAUUUUGCAAUGCAUUUUAUCACUUCUCAUUCUCUGCAGACACAAAAUCUGGAUGGGAUUGCUUAAACCAGCCUGAGCAUCCCUAUUGCUGCAGAGAUGAAGCAGAAUAGUAGCGUUUGGAAGGGGUACAAUGUCCCAUCACAGCCAAAGAUCUCCAUGGGGACCCCAGAACCUGCUCACAAAGGUCUAGUUGAGAGUUUGGGACCCAUGGUGGUCACUGCAAUGCAAACGCAAGACCAAAGCUUUUAACUUCAGCUGUGUUGGUGGUUUCAGCAUGGGGAAGAUGGCUCCAUGCCAUGAGAACUUUCAGGGCAUUGCUGAGCAAAAUGGGUGCAGCUUUCUUUUAAUGCACUGAAGUGGAGGCAAAUUUCAAUCUAAUAAUGUAAAGAAGCAAUAACCAUUAUAAUUAAUUUAUAUAAAAGACAUUAUAAAAUUACACUUGAUGCAUUUAAAUCCCAUCCAGGAGCAGUGCUCGUUUUCCAGUUAAGCUAUGGGCUGUGCUAAGGCAGACGGGGAAAGAGAUUCAGCGUUGACAGGGGUUGUUCUGAAUGUAACAGGAUCCCAUGGCAGACGUAAACCAGACUCCAGGCGUUUGCUGUGUGUUUCACCGAGGAGUUUUUCUCAGACCCCUCUGUCCCAACAUGGUUUGCUGGUGGUGUUGCAGCAUGAGCACAGACAAGUCCCUCUGGGGACAACCACUUUUGGUGGUCCUGGGAUCCAGCUUGAAGGUCACCAAGCACUCAGAUCAACUGCUCCCAUCCAGACUUGGCCCCCAGCGUGGAAAAGAAGGAUUUUCCCGUCCCUCAGACUUCCCCACCCCUUGCUCAGAGGCUCAGAGCAGUGAAUGUCACCCUGUUGCCACCCUCUUAUGGAAAGACUGCCUCGUCCCUGCGUCAAGGACAUCUAGGGGAAACAUCCCCAGCCCCACAGAGGACAGCCAUGGCUCUUUGCCCACGGUGCUCUUUCCCAGGAGAGACCAAGAGAGAGCAAUCAGACUCGGAAGAAGGUAAUUUGAAUUGGAUGUGAAGUUGUUACUAAUUUAAUGUUUAUCCAAUAACAAGGACUUUGCAAAACCCCUUACCUUUCCAUGAGCCUCAGGUAACACUGUCAAUUCAUAAUUGCUAUGAUUCCUUUAUCCCGUGGUUUAAUAAAUAAUUUACCUAAAUUAUUAAAAUGAAAAUUUCAACAUUAUUAAAAAUUAACCAGGUUAAAUGAGCAAACAGUAAAUAGUGCUGGGCUUGUCCUGCGUGACAAGAGUCCGCAGCUUUUAUUGUCUUUUCCCAGGCACAGAGGGUACAUUUCUCCCUCCUCCUCUCCCUCCCUCCCUGUCUCCACUUCCACUGCUCUACUCUUGUCUUUCACAAACUCCUUUCCUUGACACUAGUUUUCUCCACAGCCUGUUCUUUCAUCUCUGUGUCCUCUUCUCCACUGUUGGUUUACUCUUCCUUCCCAUGAGCUCUCUCCUUCCCUGCUGUAGCAGUAGGCAUCCGUCUCCUCUCUGCACAUUAUAUUCUGCACACAUAUGUAGCACAAGAUGCCUGGCAGGUCUUUUUGUGUUUUCUCUCUUUGAUCCAUGGCUGGCAACCCCAUCUGAUGCCAGAAAGACAUAGAUCCAGGAGAGCACAUGCUAUGCAAAGAGCAGAGUUUGUCAGGUCUUCAGGAUACGGGCUGCUUCCAUUCAUGAAAAAUGUAUUAAAAUCUGACUGCUCUUAAAGGAUCGCAGUUCUGUCAUUUUUAAUUGAAACAUUCAGUUUGCCCAAAAUGAAGUGCUCCAUCUUUCAGGCUCUAUCUCUUGCCAGGUUUUUUUUUCAACUCUCUGUAAUUCCUGCUGAACUGCUCCUUCUGCUGCUUUCUGGCAGAAUUCCUCAUUGACUUAAAAGGGUUCUCCCCCUCCAGGCUUCAUCCUAUCCAUUUUCCCUUUCAACACAUGAGAGUCCUGCAAAUGGCCUUUCCUCCUGCCUGGCAUUUUUCACCCGGUGCAGACCUCAAGGCACAUAGCUGAUCUUUUCCUGCAGCUAUCUGGGAGAACUGGGCAUCCAGCUCCUGUUCAGUUUCGGUAAGAGCAUAGUGCCUGCUGAAACACCAGCAAGCCUGUUCAUCCCUUCUCUGAAGUGUCCAUAACACUGUUACCCUGCUGCUAUCUGAGCACUGACAGGCAGAUGUGGGCUUCUUAAUGUGCUCUAAUAACACUCUGCUUUUCUUUCGCUGCUAAGAGACCACAAAGUGAGUAAAGCAACAUUUGCAGGCGAAAUACAGCUUUGUAAACUGGCUCCUUCCUAUCCCUUUCUGAGCAGCCCUUGGGUAGUACCCAGCACUAUUACACCUCUGCAUAGGAUGGAAAACUGAACUGAAAAUCCCACCUGUAUGCAAAAGCAGAGGUGGUGUGAACCAGAAGAUAACUCAGCUGGAACGUGUCCAGGAGACUGUACCUCAAGUGCCUGCUUGUACAAUACACCCUGCAAGGUGAAGCCCCAAGGGUAUGGUCAAAGUGAAGGCAAAUGGAUGCGCUGAGACAAUAGUGAGACCUAGAGCAUAUAAAACAUGGGAACUGUGUCCGUGGAGAACGUGGCAGUUAUUGACUGCACUGUCACAUGGCGUAGCCCUUUCCUUCCACAGUCAAAGCUGGUAUCUGAAUUACUUUGGAUUUUAACCACAAUUAAAGAGCUAAUCAAGGUCAACAGCUCCUUUCAAAUACAGUUUAGUACAAAAUCCUAAUGCAGGAAUUACACAAAUUGAUAUUGUCAAUAUAAUGGAUUCAAGCCAAUUGUGCUAAACAAGGUUGUAUCAAGUCUGCACUCUGUAUUAGGUGAGGGCUAAUUCUGUGUAGCAGCAGUGGAGACAAACAGAAAAACAGAUACAUCAAGCCUUCACAGUCUGGAUUUAUUACUGAGGUGGUUUUUACCCCUCUCAAAGAAUUCGUUAGUCUAAGAAAACAGUGCCAUUCUGAGCAUUUGGUUCCAUUCAGAAGGCAGAACACACGAAAUUGAACGCAUGCAAUGUAUUGGUCUAAUAUAUAGGAGGUAACAGAAGGACCAGUCAAGAAUAAAUCUAAGUAGCAGCCCUUGGUGAAAAAACACAAUGACAAACUGCUCAAGUACCCAAAUGUACUGCACUACUUGAGACACCCUGAAGUAUCCAAGACACCAAGCAUAGCUGGAAGGUGUGACAAGAGACCUGUAGAAAACCCAUGUUCUGCCAGCAUGGCAGAUAGUCUAGAGCAUUUCAAAUGAACCCUAAGACAUGUAAUGCUCUCAUAUCAGGUGGCAUCUCAGCCUCUUAUUUGCUUUUCCUCUGAGGCACUUCAAAGUUUCACCAAUUGCUUUGGCAUCCCAGGUGGUGCUUCUUCAGUAGGUGUGAACCUUACGGCUCCCUGUUAGGCAUGUGGAUCUAGAGACACAUCUGCAAUCACUCAGGGAAUUAGCAAUGCUUUUUUUUUCCCCUGUGUUGUUUCCCACCUAGAUUCUAAUAUUUCUGCUGUGAAGCAGUUUGUGGGAGGGCAGACAGGCCUUUUCUUUUAAUUGAAGCUAAUGGUAUCCUCGAAAUAGCAAAACCCAAGAAGAGAGGAGGACUUUCUCCAGGCAAUGCAGGCCACCCAGGGCUGCAGAUGGUGGGGCUCCUGGAGAUGGGAAGAACCCUGGGUCUGUAGAUGUGAGUUAGCUCCUUCCCUUCACCUCCGCAUCCACUUUGUGACUCCUCUCCUCAAAGGAAAUGUGUGGAGUGACCCCAGCCCUUGCUCUCACCCUCCAAACUCCUUUGGAAGGGUGGGAGACUGUCAGCCUUUCCGGGGUCCGUGUGAAAGAAGCUAAAUGGGACCAUGAAGGUGGUAAUGGAGUGGAAGCAGAGCAAGGAAAGUCUUGCUGAUGGAUUAUUAGGCACUGUCAAAGUUUCAGCAGAGUGGAAAACUUGGAGGCUGAAGUGAGUAGUAACCCAUGAAAAAUCACCUCUUCCUUUUCCUGUUCAUGGCAGGGCAGCGUGUCCAGAUCAAAGCCACCCAUCACCGCUCAGGCUCAGUCGCACGAUUUACGAGGCACUGGGGCACCAGCCCAUUAACAGCCCUGGUAAUUCAUUGCAAGGGCAACGGGAGGUGUAAAUCCCCUCCCCUCCAAACUUACACAUUUACUUAAUUGCCCCCCCAGUUGCUGGACCUGGACAUCAAUGGGGCUGAUGCUAUGAACGAGAAGGGCCACAAGAGGUGCAAUGGGAAGGGAGACUGAGGAAAGAGUCUGGUGUGGUCUGUGCAGGUGAGACAAGCAUGACCCAAGAGGCAAACCCUCUUUCGUUUGCAUCCAUUAAGCAGCACAAAAUCUCAUCGGUUUUAAUUGCAUUUUGACCUUCCGGAGCUUCUCUCGGCUGUUUCCCUUGGGAUCGGUGUUGGAGAAAGAGCAUGCUUCAUGCACAUGGGCAGCUGGAAGGCCUCCACAGUUUUUCAGUGCUUGUGAGACAUUGUGCUGUACCACACAUGGCAGUCCCUGCUGCCAGCAGCUGGUUCAGAGGCUCAGCAACCCCACGAUCGUUGAUGACAGCAGGUAACACCAUCUAAGGAGACAUAUGAGGUCUCAAAGUGCUUUGGAACCUCAGCCUCUAAGGUGGAGAACAUCAGUCUAUGACUCCAUCACUUUACUGGUAGCACUCAGACAUACUGUCUUCUCUUAUGGUCUUCUGCAGCAUGCCCACAUUC